AGCAGCGUGGCUCAGUGGAAAGAGCACGGGCUGUGGAGUCAGAGGUCAUGGGUUCGAAUCCCGGCUCUGCCA
rnacentral:tRNA from 1 species